ACUAUUUUGGCAGAGAAAAUGUAAUGGUUUUAGAAAUCAUGGAUGUAUAUAAUUAUAUAAGUAGUA
rnacentral:tRNA from 1 species